GCAUUUUGGUUAAUAUGUAAAAGAUCAACUUCCUGCUGACCUCUAAUUUUAGGGUUUGCCGUUCCCUUUCUCCUCCAGGAACUGCUCCAGAAACGCAGUUCCUCCCUCAGGAAUCAAGAUCUUCGUCGGCGGCAGCUCCUCCAGGUUGUAAAUGCGACAGAAAAGCUAUGUGCUGGAAUCUUGAAUGGGAUCUAAAAUUUGGGGGAAGACAUCGUGGAACUGAAAGGGAAUGUUGCAAGUUAACAAAUCAUAGGUAGGGAGUGAUGGAGGGAGGAAGGAGAUUCAGGAGGUUUGGGUUACAUAGGGGACUAGCACUCAAUUAUCCUCUUAGCGUGUUACCUCUGCACAAUGUGUCCCGGGCCUCAGCCGCCACAAGGCCUCGUCUUUCCUGCACCUUAUCCUGUUGGUAUUGCGACCUCCGGAUAUAUGCAUUUACCGAUCCCAUCUUUCGUAUUGGCAGAAGAUAUGCAAGGUAUUUGCGAGUUUGGUUUUCAAUGGGAGUGGGCUUUGGAGCAACCUUAAUGAUUGUUCUUGCGUUGCUUCUCCUUUGGGAGCUAGCAGGGUUCCUACAUCUUCACAAAAGCAACGCCAAUCUCAACAAGCUUGUUUUUGGAUUCUCUCCUACAGUCUAUGGUUUGAAAAUUUCGCUUGCUGAUGCCGGAUUUAUAGUUUUGUCUACCUUGAUUUCCGUAUGUGCCCAUGAAAUUGGGCAUGCUAUUGCUGCUGCUAGUGAAGGAGUACAGGUGGAACAUGUUGCCAUUUUCAUCGCAGUUCUGUUUCCCGGUGCUUUGGUGGCUUUUAAUCAGGAUUCACUGCAGGCGUUACAACGUAUAUCUGCUCUACGCAUAUAUUGUGCCGGUAUUUGGCACAAUGCAGUGGUGAAACUGCAGUCUUUUGUCUCAUUCCUUAUGUGCAUAUAUAUCACAGAGUUCCGUUUUUCACGCGGUCCAUUUCAUGUUGACAGUUAUUAUAUAGUCAAUAAUUUCUUAACAGUCACUUUUGCACCUUGUGUACUCAUGAAUAUUCAUCUCCCUGCAGUGUUGUGCAAUCUCUGGAUUGACGUUGUUGCUCUUGCCGUCUAUUUUGUUUCCUUUGUAUGUGCAUGGUCAAGGCCUAAUGGCGAUAUGAUUGUGGCUGUAGAUGACAUACCCAUUCGUGAUAAACAAGAUUGGGUGGAGGCAAUUUCUUUAAUAGACAUAGAUUCGAAUCAGGAAUCAAAUCAUACUCAAUAUGUGGGGAAAGGCAGCAGCAAGAAGGGUUAUUGUGUUCCUUUGGGCUCGUUGGAAGAAAGAGAGAGCAUACGGCAUGUGGAUAAUGUAUCUACUUGCCUUGACGAUCUUACCGCCUUCAUUAGCACGCCUUGCUCUGAUAUGGACACCACAGAUUAUAAUGAUGGUAGCGGUAGCGCAGAAGAGCAUGCACGCUGCUUGGAUGCUAAGGAGGUUAUCAAGCUCAGGAAAUGUGGUGAUGGGUGGUCCCACAUUGUCAACGGCAGCAGCUGCCUCUGUUUGCAGGAUGAGUCUUGUGUCACUCCAAUAAAGAAACAGGGUUCGAUGUGGGUUGAGGUCACAUGCUUCAGCUCGUAUGGUUCUCCUGCGUGCUCUCGAAUUGAGCAAACCCCGUUGCCCACUUCUCAAAUCUCAAAACUUACGGAGAGAAACUGCAGUAGGAGUUUUGUGUAUGUUGGGGAUCUCUUCUCAUUGUCAAAUUCAGUUCACUUUACCUCAUAUAGACCACGUCUCUGGGCAUCCAGUGUUGGUGCUUACGUUCCGUAUGUCAUGGAAAAGAUUCUGAUUUUGACAUACCAUGUUUCUCUUACGUUAGCCCUUAUGAAUACUUUGCCAGUUUUUUUCUUGGACGGGGAAUCCAUCUUAGAAGUGAACUUAAGCUACUGUUCUUGGUUGAGCCAUCGGAAGAGUAAAGACCUUCUUCAAUUGAUCCUUGCUGUGGGAACCUUGAUUUCAGUACUUUCCUUUGUGAAGAUGAUUGCUAAAGGCUAUUGAAUGCUAUGGAACUCGACUCUUGUGGCUCUCUCUUUUUCUCGUUAUGAGGAACAGCUUCUGCUCAUAUUUUUUCCCAUUCGACAGUAAUAGUAUCUCAGCUCGGAUGGUCUAUUAAAUAUGUGGACAAUUUUCAUUGGGAUGGAUGAAGCACGCGACUCUUGUAGGAGAGAGCAGAUGAUCAAACAGCCCUCCUCCAUGGAGGUUUCCUCUUCUGAUGACCCUACGCUAAUACUAAGGUUCAACUACUAUUUACUUCGUCAGUGCCCGGAAGAUUUAUCGAUCCCCUCUCGAAGCUCCCAGUGCAGACUGUUCGAUCAAAUAAGGGGGACCAUUAUAAUCAGAAGCGAUCCAAGUGAAUGAAGAAAAAACACCAAGAAGUCAUGCUUGAUAAGGUGAAUUCUCAUUACUUGUGGGAUUUGGAAAGCAUACCGAAUUGAGAAGCCUGAUAGCAGCAGGCCGAGUAAAUUUUCUGGCGAAGAGAAAGCAUCCUGAUGGCUUGCCUUUGCUGCUGCACCAUUCUCUCCGGUGCUCAGUCUCAUAAUAGAUAUUGUUGAUAUCCUGCAGAAGUGUAUCAUAAAUGAUAUAUAUCCAGUAUCGCUAUGAGGACUCGAACAAGCCAACUUAUCAGGAAGGCAAGUUUAUAGGGUUAAAUACAACGUUGGAUAGAGGA